rnacentral:tRNA from 1 species
UGCGGGAUCGUCCAACGGAAGGACCGCGGCCUUUGAAGCCGAAGACGCGGGUUCGACUCCCGCUCCCGCGU